rnacentral:rRNA from 2 species
GGCCGGGGGAUCGAGAGAAAAGGACGGAGGGGUGGGGGUGGGGUGGAAGGGGGGGUAGGGCGGGGAGUGGUGAGGGGGGGGGGGGCGGGGAGCCAGGGGGGGUUUUUAUUUUUUUUUUUAGGCCAGGUUAAGUUUGGUGGUGUGUUUUUCUUUUUUUCCCCCGGCCCACUCACCCCCCCGGGCCUAGCUUACCAAUCCACUUCCUAUUUUUUUUCCCAAAAAUGUUGGUCGGGAGGGGGGAAUUGGAAACCCCCCGCCAACCCGCCGGGAGGGGGAACCUAUGGAACAAUGUUUAACCCCGUAAUUUGGGGGACCCGUUGUUCAAAAUGGAGAGUGCUUUCUCUACCUGUGGGAUGCCCCCGCCUUUUUUUGUUUGUGGUGAAAAAACCCCCACCAAGGUGUUUUUCGUACCCCCCUGGAGGGUUAUCGCCCUCAUUGGGAAUGAGCCCCGGCCCAGCUUCCUAGGGGAGGCAGCAGUAGGGAUUCUUCCCCAAGGGAAGAAAGUCUGAGGAACAACGCCGCGUGAGUGAUGAAGGUUUUCGGAUCGUAAAACUCUGUUGUUAAAGAAGAACAAGUGUUAGAGUACUGUUAACACUUUGACGGUAUUAACCAGAAAGCCACGGCUAACUACGUGCCAGCAGCCGCGGUAAUACGUAGGUGGCAAGCGUUGUCCGGAUUUAUUGGGCGUAAAGCGAGCGCAGGCGGUUUUGUAAGUCUGCUGUGAAAGCCCUCAGCUCAACUGAGGAAGUGCAGUGGAAACUACAAAACUUGAGUACAGAAGAGGAAAGUGGAACUCCAUGUGUAGCGGUGAAAUGCGUAGAUAUAUGGAAGAACACCAGUGGCGAAGGCGGCUUUCUGGUCUGUUACUGACGCUGAGGCUCGAAAGCAUGGGUAGCGAACAGGAUUAGAUACCCUGGUAGUCCAUGCCGUAAACGAUGAAUACUAGGUGUUGGAGGGUUUCCGCCCUUCAGUGCCGCAGCUAACGCAUUAAGUAUUCCGCCUGGGGAGUACGACCGCAAGGUUGAAACUCAAAGGAAUUGACGGGGGCCCGCACAAGUGGUGGAGCAUGUGGUUUAAUUCGAUGCUACGCGAAGAACCUUACCAGCUCUUGACAUCUUCUGCCAACCCAAGAGAUUGGGCGUUCCCUUCGGGGACAGAAUGACAGGUGGUGCAUGGUUGUCGUCAGCUCGUGUCGUGAGAUGUUGGGUUAAGUCCCGCAACGAGCGCAACCCUUAUUAUUAGUUGCCAGCAUUUAGUUGGGCACUCUAGUGAGACUGCCGGUGAUAAACCGGAGGAAGGUGGGGACGACGUCAAAUCAUCAUGCCCCUUAUGAGCUGGGCUACACACGUGCUACAAUGGAUGGUACAACGAGUCGCGAAACCGCGAGGUCAAGCUAAUCUCUUAAAGCCAUUCUCAGUUCGGAUUGCAGGCUGCAACUCGCCUGCAUGAAGUUGGAAUCACUAGUAAUCGUGGAUCAGCAUGCCACGGUGAAUACGUUCCCGGGCCUUGUACACACCGCCCGUCACACCAUGAGAGUUUGUAACACCCAAAGACGAUGGGGUAACCUUUUAGGAGCUAGUCGUCUAAGGUGGACAGAUGAUUAGGGGAAGUCGAACCAAGGUGCCAUGG